AUUUCACUCCACAGCCCAGCUCCCUGUCGCUCCGGCCUGAAAUGUAGCCACAGAUCUGUUUUUGCCUUUUCAAGCCCCAGACACAGAUUAAUGUGUUCUGUUCAACAACGUGCCCUCUCCUGAGGACGGCACACCUCUUCCUCCCAUGGGCGUGGGAGCACCAACAACAGCCGGUCUCAUUUUGUUUCCUCUGCUUCACACAGAUGAUUACAGAUGCAGAUCUCUGGCCUCCAAAUCUAGGAACUCUUCUCUAAGAGGAGUACUACUCUUCCCUGGUUGGGUAAAUCUUCAAGGACUGCAUACCGAUAAACCAAUCGAUGGAUCCUACCCAGAAGAAGGAUGGGAUUAAAACCAUUUCUCAUUUGUGAAUCAAGAAGCAAGCCAAGAUGACUGAAAGAAUUGUUUACCACAGAAAUCUUUUUACUUAGGCAAACCACACUUAUAUUGAAACUGGAUUCUGCUCCUGUUACCCCACUGAAAUUGCUCUAGAAAAAUCCAGUAACUUCCAAAAUGGCCUACCACUUUCAACUUACAUUACACCAUUUGGCAAGUAGAUAAAGUACAAGAGAAUGACCCAAUUGACUGUUACUACUACAGUAUAGAAAUGAAGUUCCUGCUAUGAUACGUGUGCUGGGGAUAGAUUUCAGCCUUGCAGA